UAAAGGUGACUCUAAUGCAGAAAUAGGAAAGUAAACUAAUGCAACUAGGGCGCUAGGCCCUUACCGCGAUCCUCGCCGUGUGAACUCGCGCUCGGCCCUGUAGUAAAAUAGGGGUGAGAACUAACUUCCUUAGUUCCCAGUGGGUUCGGCCGCCGACUCCGCCGAUCUCCCCACUAGGUCCAAGUGGGCACUAGUAGAUAAUCGAUAGAUAGAUAGAUAAGGAAAGCGGUAAAUGACAGAAGUAAAGCUACUCUACUAUGCCCAAUCAUAAAUAUAUGAAUGCAUGUACAAUGAAAUAGGUAAGCAACUAACCUGUUAUCAUGUCCAAAGGUAAAGCUAUUCACUCGUUCAUUAACCUUAUUUACUUGUUCAUUAAUCUCAUGGCUUACCCGAAGGCUCGCCUACAGCUCACUAGCCAUCUCGACGCGUAGGGAGAAUUAACUCAUACUACGAACCCGAGACCGUCUGGCGGGGCCAAAAUAGGCAAUCCCUUGGGACCCAAAAUAGGCAAUCCCACGUGACCAACUCCGGAGCGCACUACUUGUGUGGGGCUUCCAUCACAAGAUUUAAAACAGACCGUGAGCAUGAUCCAAUCCUCUAAGCUCGAGGAUACCCUGUCCUCUAGGGUCACAAUCAUCAUAUAGUCCAUAGGUUUCAUAUACACUACGACUCACAUAUGUCACUUGUUCUUUUGUUUACUAUCAACUAGAUGCCACUCGUUCGUUACAAGUUUCCAAUGCAAUAGCCAAUACAUUACUAAAUUCCCAUCCACACUUAUCAUCUCAUUAUAGGGUUCCACAUCACAUAUAUAAACCUCAAGCAUGGUAGAUAUAAGUACUAAGUCAAAUACAUUAUUCUACCAAAGAACAUGCAAGGUAUAGGACCAAACCAUCAUUUAUCACCCUAUAAUGCAAGAUGUCAAUAUGCAAUUUGAUCAAUAUAAAACUUAGACAUAAAAGGGAGCCCGGCUGCUUCGGGAUGGACACCACCUACCUUUUAUAGCGUUCCGAUUGCUCGUCGUCACUCGCAAUCGGCCUCCUGCGGCGCACACCGCACGGCUCGACCCAACUCACGCGCGACUGCCAAAUGACCUCCUAUCCGCGAUCUGGAAAUUAAAGGUCUUCGGUUCUUCGUUAUGAUGCUCGGGAUGCGAUCCCACGAUUUAUGGAAGCCGCCUCAGCUCCUCGGGUCAAUACGAACCCAUGAACACUUGUUUAAGCCGGAACGUCGCACCCGCUCGACGAAUCGACGAACCGUCGCUUCCCACGCGUUCAGCGACCUAUCAAUUAGGUUUACAGAGGGUUAAAAGAGAUCAAACCCAACUAUUUACAAAAACCUCAUUUUUGAAGCCCUAGAUGCCAUUACCACUAAAUAUUCCAAAUCAACCAAAGAUUUAGGUAAUAAUCAUCUCAUUAGCAUCCUAGGAUUCCAAAAACACCAUUUCUAGAGAUCAAAACCCAUGAUCUACCAAGAAACCCACUUUAAGCCCUAGGUUUACAAUUAGGCUAAAUCCACCAUUAAAACUUAGGAUUCAAGCAUCAAACCUUUAAUUAGCAUGCUAGAAUACCUCUAAACCCAUUCUUAGAGUUCAAAACCCAAACUAUAGAAAGCUACCAUUGUCGAGCAUCAAAAGCUUACCUUAGAGCUUGCUCCAAUGGCCUAAAGAGGAAGAAGAAGAAGAUGAAGCCCACUUCUUCAAGCUUUCUCCUCCAUCUCCACCUUCUUGCUCCACUUCUUAGAGAGAGAAAGAGAGAGUUUUAGAGAGAGAGAGAGGGGCUACGGUUGAGGGAAAUGAGAAAGGGAGAAAGCCAUCCCCUCUCUUUGUCUCUAAGUCAUGUAACAAAUACAAUAAGCCCCUUCAACUCGUAGCCUCUCAAACAGCCCAAAAUGGGCAUUUUCGGGUUCGGGGACCGGUCUCUCCAUGCAGGGACCGGUCCCCAAUGGACCAGAAAACUGCAAUUUUCAGCUUUUGCCUAUUUUGCUCCGUUUCGCUCCGUUUUCGCCCGUUUGACUUCAGAUUCGUCUCAAAUCGAACCGAGACUCUCAAAACAUGAUUUCAAGCGUAUUUACAUCAUGUUUCAUCCUCGCAAAUGCCUGAUUUAGUUUGCGGCACAACAUAUCCUUUCGGGUUCCGUUUUCACGCCUACGCGCACCGAAACGCUCGAAAGCUUUCGAACUUCACCGAAACCAUCCAAAUGGCUUUCCAACCAAAUGUACACCGUAACCUCAUGAUUUUAGAAGUCCGGUACCUUACAUCCUCCCCUCCUUAAUAAGAGUUUCGUCCUCAAAACUUAAACAACCCCAAUUCACACCUCAAUUUAACUUAUCGAGAAAUCGAGGGUUCCAAUGCACUUUCGCAUCUCGGAGUGGUCUUUCACUCAUUGGAACUAUUUAAAGGUUCGCUAAGGAGGAUGUGAGGCCAACUUCACUCACAUUGGCUAAACGCAACUCCAAAAGUGCAUUACUACCUUCGCAAGCCAUGGUGGCAGCGCAAAUCGAUAUAUGACGACCCCUCGCGCUCCAACACCGCUCGCUACAGAAUCCAAGGAUUACACUCCGAUCCGAUCACCGGUAUUGCCUAAAAGCAAUAUCAUUGGUGCAUCGACAAAUCGCGAGUGUUCCAAUCCUCAACCCGAACCUUGCUCAAUCAUGAGAUGGCCCACUCUAGCACAUCUCGAAUCUCAAUCCUUGAAUGAGCAUUAUCUGCAGGCUCCAAUCCAUUGGAGAGCAUCAACUUCAAUCCUCACGUGGCUAUCCACCAUCUAAACGUCUCCUAGAGAUCACUUUACUUCCAAUCCCAUUUGCCACGGCCAACGUCAAGCUUGCUCUCACAAUGGAUUUACCCAAGCACCCGUUCGCAAAUCCCGGCCAAACCUCUCAACAGAGUUAUCGACUAAAUCACUUAUCACGCCAAUCCCGGCCAAACCUCUCAACAGAGUUAUCGACUAAAUCACUUAUCACGGUUUCCACAGGUGGACUACAGGCCACCAAUCUUACGUAGGUCUACCGCCUAUCCUGUCUCGAUACUCGUACCGUCUCUCGCUCGCAAGCGCAGACCCAAUUAUAACCGGACGAAAUUCUCACUUGGGAAUUCGCACACACUUGAACCAGGGGUAAUUAUAACCCCAAACUCAAUCAAGUCCUCGGGUUGGGUCACUACACACUCGGUGUAUCCUCGAUCUUAUGAUCAAAUACGUGGCAUUCCACGCUCCCGGGUCUAAGCUCGGACUACCGACCUGACCAAACUAUGCCCUACCCAUAGAUAUCAGGCCGCUGUCACUUGCAGCUGACUGCGCCUGCCCAAAGGGCCCAGGCUCCACAAUCCACAAUUGGUCCAGAUACGGGUCGUCUUCAAGCACUACCCGCCGUCGUCGUCUUACACGACAUACUCUAUUGAGUUACACGUACCAUUACUGGCUCCUAAGUGCCUAAGCACCUAGUGUGAGCCAUCAGCCCUACGAGUGUUCCAUGGCCCGCUUCACACUUAGCAACGCUAAAGUGCUACAGCCAACACACUCUCUCGGCUGAAGCAAAUCCGUACUCUACGAGUAUCUACACUCACACGUCGUACGCCUCUCUAACGCUCUACUCCGAAUUCGAGCCUUAGGCACUUUUGCCCUAGCACAUGGCCACACAAGCAUGACUCAGCCAUCUCAAUUUGAGGUCGUAACUCGAUAAUCAACCAACCACUCUUUCAGCAGUGAUCCUACUUUCACUGUUUAAUCUACCGGAACUACAUCCGAGACACUCGAAUUGCUCGGUUAUGCACAAGUAUCACGGCUCAACUCUCGCAACCAACUACCCGUUGUCUUGAGAGUCGCUUCACCUUUUCGUCUUUCCCACGAGUCUCACUUCCUGUCUAGAAUCCACUACUAGCAAUUUGCUAGUACCGUCUAACCCUCCAUCUACUCCAGCAAGCGUUACACCCUCACGCGCAAGCAUGCUCGGGUAUUUACACUUAUCCGUCACUUUAGUCCUUACUACGUCGAUGCAUCGACGAUAGCAAGCGACCACACGACGAAUGCAUGCAAGGUCCUUCGACCAAGGUCGCGUACUCACGGACGCUCGUUGCCCGCCGCGAACCCUCCGUCGUCACUUCCUCACCACUCGUUCUCUAGACCACUCUGUAGACUUCACAUCCACAAACUGUCUCGGAGAGGAAGAGGCUACCUCCUAUAACGCGACCCUGCAAUCGACCGCACGAAUGCCUAUCUCACCACGCAACGCACAUUACGUGCUAGGUGAGAACUCCCACAAUCUCGCAUCUCAAGGAAGUCAACAAAGGCACCUCCGAGGUUCGGGAUUGCGAUUGGAAUCAAGAAGGUGCAUUGCCCCAAACUGGGCAAUUUUGAGCUACGGGGACCGGUCCUUGCCCGAGAGACCGGUCCUCGGGAGACCGGUUCCUGCUGAGAGACCGGUUCCCGAGAGUGGCAUUUCCGGGACUUAGCUAAUUUCAGCCCUUUUUGUCAAUCUCGCACACGGGGGACCGGUUCCUCUGGCCCAGGGACCGGUUGCAUCAAGCAACCCCGCACCAAUCAGCUACGGGGACCGGUCUCUCCCUGCCAGGGACCGGUCCCCGAGAGCAACUUCCAACAAGUGCAGGCUUUGCACUAUUGGCUCUCGCGGACUCAAUUCCAAUGCACUCUUGGUGAUUUAGACAUCUUCGGCUUUUCCGAAGCCUACACACUCGACAAUUAGUCGAUUUCCGACGAAGUCAAAUCCUCGGAUUUCAAGAAUCCACUUCCCCUACAUAAACGACUUUAACAACGCCCGGCCGAAAUCUCCGCACAAGCAAUUCGGCCAUGUCCUCGUCAUCCCGCGCUACGUUCGGGACGCAACGCACGACACGGGAGAAUUCCCGCUCGUAUCGCCUCACGGUGCUGUUUACCUGCCACAGCUUCGAAAACCCUUCUGAAGCUUCCUCGCUCACCGUCGGGGAAGUGAACGGAGAAUACCCAUUCCCGAACUUAUCCCAGACCAUAGGAGGGAUACCAGGCAAUCAGUUCCGUCGAAUGCCUUUCCACCACACCUUUGCCGACUGUUUACAAGCAGCGUACGGCUAGGUGUGCCCUUCCUCACUCUACAACGCAUAGAUCCCCAAAGGGAGUCUCGCUCUCGGUUCGUCACCAGCAGCUUGCCGGCACCGACCAAUCACCAAUUUCUUUAGGUAGGCGACAUACCACCACGACUUAUGCAUGCUGGGUGACUUCUCUGACCUGCAUCCUGGUCUCUACUAUACCAAUAUGUAAAUAAUAGUAAAAGACCACAAGUAAAUGCAUACAAUUGCUCAAACUACUUCAUGCUAGAAUGUAUGAUUGCUUUAAUUAAAUCAUACCUACGGUAACAUCACCAACAGCAGCAGGUCCCUCGACGUGAGCCGCGUAUCCAGGGCCGUUUUGCGCCUCCUGUGAAUCCUCCGGCUGCUCGACCACCCCCAGCCCUCCAGACUGUGCCACAGGCUGCACAUCCACCAUCUGUCCAGAAGAGGUGAAUGUCGACACUGUCGGCAGGAGUUGUCCAUCACCCAUGGGGCAACCAUGUCUCACGUGGCCAAACUGCCCGCAAUGAAAACACCUUCCCUUUCGUAGCGCACACCGCCGCGCCUGGUAGGAUCCUCCACCAAUCACACACCCCGCAGAUACGGUAGUAGCAGACGAAACUCCACCAAACUGUCGCUGAAUCUCUGAGGCGGAUGCAACUGAUGGGGCAGGUGGCACUCCUUCCGCGCACUGACGGGCCAUAUGUCCCGCCCGACCACACUUGAAGCACCGUCCCGCCCGAUCCCUACAAUUCCCCGCGCGAUGUUCUCCACCGCAGAUCACGCACCGCAUAGGUCCUUGUCUAAUGGACCGCCCCUUUUGGUACUUCGAGGCCUUUUUGGAGCUAGACUGUCCCUCCGAACCACCACGAGGUCGUUUCUUCACUCCACUCUCCUUGAACGCCUUGCGUUCCUGUCUCACUUCCCCAGCUGCCGCAUCGAGUAUCAUAGGACCCGAAGCCGCCAGAGGGACACUAGCCGGCAGGGGAUGCGCCACCGCCGGAGUCACCAAAAUGCUCACGCCCUCAGGCGCAUCAGACGCGCGAGCCGAGGGCGCGGGCGGACCAUGGCCUUCAGUUGUUGUCACAGCCGUCGUCGCCACUUGUCGCUCCUAAAGCUCUUGGAGCCGCUCGAUCUGACUUCCUUGGCGUUGAAUCACGCCGAUAAGCGUAGUCAUCUGCGCUCAUAAUUCUUGCACUUCACUUGACCCAGCUCGCUCAGGCACCUCGGGAGGCGGUGCCGGAACGGUUCUACGCGCGUAGUGUCUCCUUGGUGCCAUUAGCUCAUGAAACACAACAACUCGGCUAAUUACCUUAACCUGCUAACCUCGUCGCAACUAUUAGACGACACGACUCAAUCGGGCGAAAGUCAUACAAGGGUGCCUAUUCUCACCACUCAGUUUCAUGUUGUAUGCAUCCAACAUGAAUACCCUCGGGUGAGAAUAAACAAAACCUUGAGUCCACCUCUAACAUCCGUCUUAGAGGUUUACCAACUUGACCCAAUCGAUCCAACUUUCGCCACCGCAUAGGUUUACGUCACUCACGCACCUAUAACCUUAGGGUUCACCGUCCUAGGGUCUCCUAGGUCCAUCCUAAACUUCUCUCUUUACUUGCUCUUAAUUGCUCUGAUACCACUUUAUUUGUCACGUCCCGGGACUGCUACCAAUUUGGCUCGGCCCGGGCGCGUCGAACAGACGCCGGACGGACAGCACCUCCCCUGUCCGCCCAAGGCUAACAACGAGAUUGUGUACAACAAGUUCCUAGGAAAAUAACUUGAAUACAUACACAAUCGAUAACUACAACGAGAGCACAAUCAGUGCAAACAACCAAGAGCAAGAUACAAGUAUAGAACAUACAAGUAAUGAUAAAGAGAGGAACAUCUAUCUAUUACAUUCAUUCAGCCUUUAUAAUACAACUUGAUUAUACAUUAAGCUUCUAAACAUAAUAUAAAGCUUACAUCUUUCAAAAUAUAAACAUUAGCUUACAUUCAUUCCAGUAUAUCUCACAUCCUAUACAUCAUCUACUCUCAAGCAUAUAAAGGUGACUCUAAUGCAGAAAUAGGAAAGUAAACUAAUGCAACUAGGGCGCUAGGCCCUUACCGCGAUCCUCGCCGUGUGAACUCGCGCUCGGCCCUGUAGUAAAAUAGGGGUGAGAACUAACUUCCUUAGUUCCCAGUGGGUUCGGCCGCCGACUCCGCCGAUCUCCCCACUAGGUCCAAGUGGGCACUAGUAGAUAAUCGAUAGAUAGAUAGAUAAGGAAAGCGGUAAAUGACAGAAGUAAAGCUACUCUACUAUGCCCAAUCAUAAAUAUAUGAAUGCAUGUACAAUGAAAUAGGUAAGCAACUAACCUGUUAUCAUGUCCAAAGGUAAAGCUAUUCACUCGUUCAUUAACCUUAUUUACUUGUUCAUUAAUCUCAUGGCUUACCCGAAGGCUCGCCUACAGCUCACUAGCCAUCUCGACGCGUAGGGAGAAUUAACUCAUACUACGAACCCGAGACCGUCUGGCGGGGCCAAAAUAGGCAAUCCCUUGGGACCCAAAAUAGGCAAUCCCACGUGACCAACUCCGGAGCGCACUACUUGUGUGGGGCUUCCAUCACAAGAUUUAAAACAGACCGUGAGCAUGAUCCAAUCCUCUAAGCUCGAGGAUACCCUGUCCUCUAGGGUCACAAUCAUCAUAUAGUCCAUAGGUUUCAUAUACACUACGACUCACAUAUGUCAC
rnacentral:lncRNA from 1 species